rnacentral:sRNA from 1 species
UUCCGGCAGCUGGACUUGGAAAAGCAAGGAGUGUCGGGAAUGGCGACCAAGCGGCUCGCGCGGCAGCUUGGAUUAAUUAGGAGAAAGUCAAUUGCGCCAGCAAAUGGAAAUCUAGGAAGAAGCAAAUCCAUUGUUUGACUACUUAAUUGUCAUUGAUUUUGAAUCAACAUGCUGGAAUGAUGGGAAGCACCACCAUAGCCAGGAAAUAAUUGAGUUUCCAGCAGUGUUGC